GCGGGACGGACGGGGAGGGCCGGCCAGGGACGCAGCUCGGUCCCCGCAGGCAGGUCCCGGGUCGGAGGGCAGCCGCCCCUCCUCCAGGAAGCGGGGCGAGGCGGCCCCGGCUCCCCCCAAAUCCCCGAACCGCCAGCCUUUUGUACUUCCCGACGUUUCCAAAGCUUCGAGCCCUCUCCUCGCGCGAGAGUUCCUCCGCGGGGCCGAGCGGGGGCACCUUCUCUACCGAGAGGACUCGCCGUCCCGAUCCUGGCCUGGUCCCACCUGCCUGUGAGACAGGAGGGGCGGGGGCCACGCCCUUCCCCGGGAAAGCCGACAAUCCUUGGUGGGGUGGGGAGGGCUGGGCUCGCCUACGGAAAGGGACGCAGAGUGGCAUUGGCGCCCCAGGCCCUCUAGCUCCCCACCCCCCGCCUCCCCCACCCCCGCGCCGACGCCCUUCCCGCCAAGCCUUCUUCCUCCCCAGGAGAGGCCCAGGCUAGGGGCUGGUCCUUCUACCCCCACCCUGACCCUGCCGAUAGGUCCUUGCAGGUGAGCACGGAACACUUUAGAAGACACGUCCUCCCAGAGCCCCUGGUGGGAAAAGUGCGCCUGAUGGAAGCCUAACUUCCAUGGGCCCUGGGAGAGGAUUACAGAACCGCCUGGUUGGCCGGACUUGGUCUAGAGCCGUCUCCAGCUCAGCUCUUCCCGAGUCGCCACCCCGCUGGGUAUGCAGGGACUGGGAGCUCUGCUGGGGAAGGGAGGUGACAGGCCUGCUGCUGGCCAGGCUUCUGGAAGGCAGGAGCUGUCUUCCUUCUCAGGAGGCAGCCCCAGGCGUUUUCCUGGUCCUGUUUAUUGGUGCUAAUGUUGCUCGGCUUCCUAAUCAGCUGGCUGCACCCAGAGACAAGAAGAAGAGAGCCUUGGCUGGGCGCGGUGGCUCACUCCUGUAAUCCCAGCACUUUGGGAGGCCGAGGUGGGCGGAUCACCUGAGGUCAGGAGUUCGAGACCAGCCUGGCCAACGUGGUGAAACCCCGUCUCUACUAAAAAAUACAAAAAUUAGCCGGGCGUGGUGGUGCACGCCUGUAAUCCCAGCUACUCCGGAGGCUGAGGCAGGAGAAUCGCUUGAACCUGGGAGGCAGAGGUUGCAGUGAGCCAAGAUCGCGCCACUGCACUCCAGCCUGGGCAACAAGAGCAAAACUCCGUCUCAAAAACGAAAAAAAGAAGAAGGGCCUGGCUUCUUGGAAGUGGCAGCUACUGAUAGGAGUUUGGGUUUGUGUUUGCUGGGGGGAUGGUGGGAGCACAGGUUAGUCCCCAUCCUGGCCCCCUCCACGGAUGCCCCUAAACCUAUCAGAAUCUGGCAGUGGCGGGCUGCUCAGUUCCCUGCUGUCUAGCCUGGGGAAUGGCGACGUGGAAAGGGGAAAGCCCCACCUCCUAACGCCCCUUCUCCCAAGCUCCCCGUCCACCACCAAAGGCAGGAAGGACAGUUUCAGCGCAGCUUAUUCCCCCACCCCCAGCCCAGCCUAGAAGGAAACACAAACCCCUCCAGCCCGUGCCAUCCCUCCUGUGUGGGUCCUGCAUCAAGUCCUAAGUGCCUGUGAGGUCUUCCAGGGGCUUCGAGGGGAGGACGUGGGGCAGGGAGAGGCCUUUGCCUCCCUCACAGACACCCCUUUCCUGACAGGUCCUGACCCUGGCUGAGGCCACACAUUCUGUCACGCAGGGGUCUGGGAGGUGAGCAGAGUCAAGCUCUAGGGGUGACGAGCUCUUCUCCCAUCACAGCCCCAUGAAGAAGGGGGAGUCCCAGAUCACACCCCCUUUCUCUCCAUUUGUUGGAGCAGGAAAUUGGCAAGAAGUAGAAACCAGUGAGCGAGCGCACUCAGGGCCAAGCAAUGUGCGGCUCUCCCAGCUGACGCCACUCGGGACUGCCCAAGACCACUGAGCAAUAACCACGCCUGGUCUGGGGUGUCCAGCUCCUGGGAUGCAGAUGGCUGAGAACCUGUCUUGUGUGUGAGGGCCUCACUCCUCUCUCGGAGGUGCCCAGAGGACUGUGGGAAGAAGGGCAAAGUCUCUUUCCAGAGGAGCGUGCACAGACCCUCAUCUCCCACGACCACACUUUUGGGGUGAACAGGGUGACUUUGUUAGGUCGAUUCUUCUGCAGAGAUGGUGAAGUACUCUAUCUGCCCACCCACCCACUAAAAGCCAUAGCUCCGUCCGCCUGGCCUCCCCCCAGCUCUAUAGCAAUAGCCCCCUUCCCCCUUCCCUCCUGGGCAUCCAGGGUGUCCAGCUAGGGGCCCCCACCGCACUCUGGUCCCAGGGAUCUUCCAGUGGCCUGCCUGCUUCUCCCGAAGUGACCCCAUCAGCUCCACCCAACUCCCAUCCCUCUUCCAGCAACCACAGAUAAUGACAAUUGUUUGUGAGGUGCUUGGAGAUCCCCUAGAUGAAAGGUUCUGGGUGCUGGGGCAGCUGACUCACUGACUCUCAGCUGAGGUGCUGGAGGUGCCUGGGAAAGGAAAUAAGGCAAGCUGGGGGAGCACCUGUAGCAGAUACAGGGUUCCAGUUUUCACAGAAAUUCCCCUCCUCGCCCUCCUGGAAAUAAUGGAAACCCCUCCACCCGCCUGCACAGAACCCUCUGUGCAGCAGAACGAGACUGGGAGCUGGAGUGCAUGGCCCGCUCUUGGCCACAGGGGCCCAACUCUCCUCAGCCUCAGGGCCCUGGAGAGGCCCCACCCUCCCUGGGUCUGGCUUGAGAGCCCACCUGGCCAAAGGGAAACCUCGCACCCCCACGCGCUCCUGGCCCCUGGAAUAUCUUGGUGACUAAGAAGGGAAAGGACUGCAUUUCUCUCUCCUCUGCUGCACGAAUCCCCAUUGGGAGAGAGAGUGUUGAAGAGGACACUCAGGUCCCUAGGCGGAGCUCCUGCCACACCCCAAGUAUGGACAGCUCCAGGACACAGAGCUGCAGGUGGGGACCUCCCCCUGCUCUGGAAAUCAGCCAGGGAGCACUGGGCAGUGCGGUUUGAGGCUCUGUACCCCUGGCCCCCACAGCUCAGCCACAGCACCCUCUAGCUUGGGGGACUAGUCCAGGGCCAAAAUGGGAUAACCCUUCCCCAUAUAAGCAGUAGGAUGGCGUCCCCCCUGGUGGAGAGAGGAAGGAGGCCUAGAGGGUGUGGGGCAGCUUCGAAGCGCGGGGAGCCGGGGGUCUCCAAGCACCUUCUCCUGGACAUGCCAGCCUUGAAUGGGGGAUGUGCAGGGCUUCAAACCCACCUGGCAGGAGCCCUGUGGCAGGGCAGAGGGACCCUGCUCCAAAUUCUCUGUUGGCUGCGCUUUUGUAUCCAAUGCUUUUCAGAGUGUAUUCACUCACCCACAGAAAUAGAGCCCUGUGCUUUAGGGGUGACUGUCAUAUGCCUUAUUCUUAAUAAAAUCUCUGAAAAACACGUGAGUCCAAUCUCUUGCAUUGGGCACUCGGCCCCACCACACCUCGGUUCUUGCAGGUGUGGGAAGAGCAUGUGGAUGAGCCAGGAGGUGGUUCAGGGUCAGCCAGGGGGUACGAUGAGACCAGGAGCUGAGACUCUGGGGUCCCCUCAG
rnacentral:lncRNA from 10 species